UCAUGCAUUGAACCAAGCUCCUAACACUUCAAUUCACCAAACUUCUCAACAUUUGUGAAUCACUCAUAACAGUCCCAAGUUAACUCCAAACCACUUCAAACUAAUUCUAAACCACUUCAACUAACUCCAAGCCUCAUUUAACCAAUUUCAAGCCUCAGAAAACUAACUCCUAACGUCCAUUUGAUCCAAACCUAUAACUUAUAUAAACACAUCACUCCCAUAGCCAAAAAAAUAUCAGAACUUGAUCAUCACUCUCAAAUUACUCAUUGCAAGUUCAACUUUUCUCCUCUCACUUCAUCUUCCCCAAUUCUUCUCCCUACACCAAAACUGAAAUCACCAUUGGAGCAAGCUUCACAUUGAAUUUUGUUAUCAAUUGAGCUAAACCUCUUGCAUUCAACAUUAUUCCUACAUUCACAUAAU
rnacentral:lncRNA from 1 species